rnacentral:rRNA from 1 species
GACGAACGCUGGCGGCGUGCUUAAUACAUGCAAGUCGAGCGCACAGACGAGGAGCUUGUUCCUCUGACGUUUGCGGCGCACGGGUGAGUAACAUGUGGAAACUCUAUCUUUCUGUCUGGGAUAACUCCGGGACACCGGCGCUAACACCGGAUAAUCUAUUGAACCGCAUGGUUCUAUAGUGAAAGAUGGUUCUGCUGUCACUUAUAGAUGGAUCCGCGCCGCUUUAGCUAGUUGGUAAGGUCAAGGCGUACCAAGGCAACGAUGCGUAGCCGACCUGGGAGGGUUAUCAGCCACACUGGUACUGAUGCGCGUGCCAGACGCCUACGAGAGGCAGCAGUGGGGAAUCUGGCGCAGUGGGCGAAAUCCUGGCGGGGCAGCGGCGGGUGAGUGAUGAGAGUCUUCGGAUCGUAAGAGUCGUUAAUUAGGGAAGAUCAAAUGUGUGAGUAACUAUUCACGGCUUGGCGGUACCUGGGCAGAGAAGCGCCGCUAACUUCGUU